rnacentral:lncRNA from 1 species
CAUAAAAUGUAUUUUUCUUUCUAGUAAAUGAAUUCCAGAAGUUGCUGGUACAGGAUUAGUGUGAUCAAUGCACAUUCAUCAGAACCAUAGCCUCCUGGCCCCAGAAUAUUCUCCUGCAUAUCCAGCUGUCAAAUCUUCACUCCUGGCAACAGGAUGGAAGCACCAGAAGAAAGAACAAUUUGCUGGUUCUUAAGCUGUGAGAGGACAAAAGGGCAAGAAAUUUGGAAGAGAACCAGGAGGUAGUAUUCAAGAGGAGUCAGUAAGUGGGGUAUUUUCCUGUUUUCUGUUGUUGGAGAUUUUUGGUUUUUUUUUAAUGGAACUUAGAGUUUGUUGAGAAAAAAAAAAGCAACUCUAUAAACAACUCAGGUUUUCAGGUAAACCUAGGAAAAACUACACCCUAACAGUAAGAGCAAACUGGAAAAUCCAGAAGAUAAUAGGCAAUGUGAGUAUCUGCAG